UACGUAGGGGGCAAGCGUUGUCCGGAUUUAUUGGGCGUAAAGAGCGUGUAGGCGGCCAGACAGGUCCGUUGUGAAAACUCGAGGCUCAACCUCGAGACGCCGAUGGAAACCGUCUGGCUAGAGUACGGAAGAGGCGAGUGGAAUUCCUGGUGUAGCGGUGAAAUGCGCAGAUAUCAGGAGGAACACCAAUUGCGAAGGCAGCUCGCUGGGACGUUACUGACGCUGAGACGCGAAAGCGUGGGGAGCAAACAGG
rnacentral:rRNA from 1 species